AUCUGAACCCCACAUAGGCUUCAGGAGGCUUAAUUAAGACAGGAGGGCCUUGAAUGGGUGUCUCUUUAAGAAAAACAGUCUACACAAAUCUUUAUUUUGACACUAAAAGAUUACAUAUCCAUUCCAACAGCUUUUCCUGUCCUGGCGACCCAAUAAGUUACACACUGGCACUUGGAGGCUAAUACGCAGGUGAUCACUGGUAACUUCCCACGGAGACUCCCAGAAGGACACCUUGGGGCAUAGGCUGGGGGGACAGCUGCAGUGGAACCUUCCUUCCAGAUUACUACAUCAGAAAAAGCAGCAUGGUUCUUGGGGGCUGGGCAACAGGUGGGACUUCCUGGAUCCAAGGCCAAGGUCUAGUUGCUCAGCAAGGCACUCUGAGGGCAGCGAUGAUGGUUCCGGUGCCUUCAAUGGGGCCUUUCUCACAGUUGCACAAUGCCCAUGGCUCCAGAUUCCCUAAGAUUAUUUGCUAGUUGCCUCUUUGCUACUGUGGCCAGUUGGAGGUUUUGAGGAAUUAGCUUUGAUCCAAGGGUACUCAAGGACUUCUGCUAAUGUUAGCCUUUGGCUUGAGUUGUGUUUUAACUGUCAUGAAAUGAGGUCCCUGGCUCCCUCUGUCACAAAGUCAGGGAAUGUGAAUUCAACCCGUGAUAUCCUUCUGUAGGUCUCCUGAUAAGUGUGUGUCUCAAAGGUAUCCCCUCAAAGGUAUCCCCACUAGGAAUUCAUAGCAGAGCACACCCAGGCUCCAGAGAUCCACCUCCUCAUCAUGCAUCUGCCCUUCAAUCAUCUCCGGGGGCAGGUAGUCCACGGUGCAGUACAGCGUGGGUCUCCUGGAAGAUGGAGCAUGCGCAGACCACCCGAAGUCUGCGAGCUUCAACUCCCCAUUUGAGCCAAGCAGCGGGUUCUCUGGCUUGAUGUCUCUGUGGAUGACUCUCUUUGAAUGGCACUAGGACAAAGCAUUCGCCAACUCCGUGAUGUAGGUAGCUAUUCUCUGCUCGUCAAACUUGGAGAGUUUUUGAAGCUCUCUAUACACUGUUCCAAGGGGCGCAUAUUCUAGAAUUAGAUAAACUCUGGUGGCGUCAUGGGAAUACCCAUACAACCCGAGGAUGUUGGGGUGCCGCAGGUGGGACUGGAUCUCCACUUCUCUCCGAAGCUGGUGCUCCACACCUGCUUCUCCAGCUGUACUUUAAACAGCAUCUUCAGAGCCAGGAUGAACUUGCUUUGCUUCUCCCUCGCCAAAUAGACAUUUCCAAACUUCCCUUUUCCUAGUGGGCGGCCAAUGUCAAAAUCUUCCAAAGUCCACUCCCUUCUUUUUGAGUCUUCAGUUUUCUGGAUGGAUGUCUGUUCCUUUUCAGAAUUUCCCGAGGCUGCAGGCUGUGGCUGCUCACUCUUCUGGGGGGUUACUUAGCCGGGACACAGGUCGAGGAACGCUGGCAGCUGGCAACUGCUUUAGCACUGACUUCUGACCUGCGACAGGUUUCUGUGCUUGUGGAGGGACACGCUGGGAGUUGGAAGGACACAGGACCCACUGGGCCUGGCCACUGCUCGCUGAUCCUGGGUGCUGAGAAGGAAUCUGCUCAGUCACCAAGACUCGUUUCGGACCGAAGGGAACUGUGGUCUUAACAGGCCUGGAGACAGUUUUCUUUACAUCUGUCCAUGUCACCCCGGUGCCACUCAACCUUCGGUUUGCAGCAUCCAGGCUCGUCCUCACCAGCCCGGUCCCCUUCCGACUCACAGAGGAAUCUAGAUUGGGCACCUUGUGGCACAUUGAAGGCCCCUGGGUCUCUGUCAUCUACCGCCACUGCAGGAUCUAUGUCUCGCUCCAAGGGGGCUGUCAAAGAGUCCCAACCCAGUACCAGGCCUCACCUGAAGGAUGAUGGUGAUUAAGGACCACAGUAUGGUGCAGCCCCACAUGGGUGACGGAGACCCUCUUACAGAGACCAUCCUCGGUUGCCAACUGAAGCUGCAGCAAGUUCCAGCCAAGGAGGAUUUCCUGGCCUCUGUCCUGCCCACAAUGCCCACCUGCCAGAUAAUAGGAGGGUGAAAGGCUCCUGGUUUGCUACUAGCACCUCUGUAUUGGACAUGCUCUGGAUGUGUCUCUCAGGAGAGAUCUAUAUCCAGUCCCUUUCAGCAUGCAUUUUUUAGCUUCAUCAAUCUUAUCUAGUUUUGGUGGCUGUGUGUGUGUGUGUGUGUGUGUGUGUGUGUGUGUGUGUGUGUGUGUGUAUGGGCCACAUGUGGGGCAGGCUCUGAUUGGCCGUUCCUUGAAUCACUGCUCUAAACUUUGCUUCCAUAUCCCCUCCUAUGGGUAUUUUUUCCCCUUUUAAGAAGGAG
ensembl:lncRNA